UACGAAGGGGGCUAGCGUUGCUCGGAAUUACUGGGCGUAAAGCGCACGUAGGCGGGCUGUUAAGUCGGGGGUGAAAUCCUGGAGCUCAACUCCAGAACUGCCUUCGAAACUGACGAUCUUGAGUUCGGGAGAGGUGAGUGGAACUGCGAGUGUAGAGGUGAAAUUCGUAGAUAUUCGCAAGAACACCAGUGGCGAAGGCGGCUCACUGGCCCGAUACUGACGCUGAGGUGCGAAAGCGUGGGGAGCGAACAGG
rnacentral:rRNA from 1 species